ensembl:lncRNA
GUGGUGUUAUACAGUCUGAUAGCAGGUAGAGUGGUGUCAUACAGUCUGAUAGCAGGUAGAGUGGUGUUAUACACUUUGAUAGCAGGUAGAGUGGUGUUAUACAGUCUGUUAUACAGUCUGAUAACAGGUAGAGUGGUGUUAUACAGUCUGAUAGCAGGUAGAGUGGUGUUAUACACUCUGAUAGCAGGUAGAGUGGUGUUAUACAGUCUGAUAGCAGGUAGAGUGGUGUUAUACAGGACAGUUAUACAGUCUGAUAGCAGGUAGAGUGGUGUUAUACAGUCUGAUAGCAGGUAGAGUGGUGUCAUACAGUCUGAUAGCAGGUAGAGUGGUGUUAUACAGUCUGAUAGCAGGUAGAGUGGUGU